rnacentral:rRNA from 1 species
CGGCGUAAAGCGUAGUUAAGAUAAAAAACAAAUAGGGCCGAACAACUCUCAAAGUAGUUAAAUGCAUUCGAGACCAAUAAGCACAUCCACGAAGGUGACCCUAAUUACUCUGACCCUACGAAAGCUAUAACACAAACUGGGAUUAGAUACCCCACUAUGUAUUGCUGUUAAAAUUGAUGGUACCCCACUCGAACCAUUCGCCCGGGAAUUACAAGCCCAAGCUCAAAACCCAAAGGACCUGGCGGUGCUUUAGAUCCCCCUAGAGGAGCCUGUUCUAUAACUGACAACCCCCGAUAAACCUCACCACCCCUUGCUUAAUCCGUCUAUAUACCACCGUCGCAAGCUCACCCUACCUGAAGGUCUAAAAGUGAGCCCCAACAGUUCUACUGUGAACGUCAGGUCGAGGUGUCGCGUACGGGGUGGGAAGAAAUGGGCUACAUUCCCUAACGAAGGGAAUACGAAUGGUGAUUUGAAAAAAUUACACUGAAGGUGGAUUUAGUAGUAAGGAAGGAAUAGAGUGCCCUCCUGAAAACGGCCCUAAAGCGCGUACAAACCGCCCGUCACUCUCUCCGAGAUACUUCUAUUAGUUCCUAAUACACAACAAUUCAUGAGGUGAGAUAAGUCGUAACAUGGUAAGCGUACCGGAA